AGCCCCAUUGUCCCGCCAAGCGGCGCUGACGCGGGUUGUACUCUGCACUUCACACGGAGGGACGCGGCUCCUCCAGCUUGGCAGAAAAACGCAGCAAAUCCUUGAACCAUAGAACGGCCUCCCAGAUGCCGUGUCUCCGUGCAGGUCAAGCAGGGAAGCGUUCCAAUAUUUCCAUGCGCUAGAUAAGCUAUUCCUCAAGGUGCGGUGUGAUCACUGCGGCCCGGGUCCUGCAGGCGUCAGGUCGCUGCGGCUCCCAGAACAGAGCGCUCGCACCCCCUCAUGUCAGACCUGGAGUUCGGCCGCAUGUCCAUCAAGGAGGUGGAAAUGGAGGGGAAGUACAAGCCGCCGCAGCCCCACUGGUACGAGCUGUACGUCCAGCCCUGUGUGGCCGAGCUCCUGGGCUCGGCGCUGUUCAUCUUCAUCGGGUGCGCCUCGGUGAUCGAGAACGUGGACGGCACCGGGAGGCUGCAGCCCGCCCUGGCGCACGGCU